CACGCCGUAAACGAUGAGCACUAGGUGUCGGGGUCGCAAGACUUCGGUGCCGCAGUUAACGCAUUAAGUGCUCCGCCUGGGGAGUACGUGCGCAAGCAUGAAACUCAAAGGAAUUGACGGGGACCCGCACAAGCAGCGGAGCAUGUGGUUUAAUUCGAAGCAACGCGAAGAACCUUACCAGGGCUUGACAUCCCUCUGACCGACCGGUAACGCGGUCUUCUCUUCGGAGCAGAGGUGACAGGUGG
rnacentral:rRNA from 1 species